UCACAGGAUUUUUUUAAAUCCAAAAAAUAGUUGUAAUAUAUAGUGGU
rfam:Lucilia cuprina strain LS Scaffold220, whole genome shotgun sequence.